UACGUAGGGUGCGAGCGUUGUCCGGAAUUAUUGGGCGUAAAGAGCUCGUAGGCGGCUUGUCGCGUCGGAUGUGAAAGCCCGGGCUUAACUCCGGGUCUGCAUUCGAUACGGGCAGGCUAGAGUUCGGUAGGGGAGAUCGGAAGUUCCUGGUGUAGCGGUGAAAUGCGCAGAUAUCAGGAGGAACACCAGAGGCGAAGGCGGCGACCUGGACAGUAACUGACACUCAACUACGAAAGCGUGGGGAGCAAACAGG
rnacentral:rRNA from 1 species